GAGAAAGUUCAUUUGUAACUUUCCUCUCUCUCUCUCUCUCUUCAAGAAUAAACUUUGCACCGUUCCGGUCAUCUUCCUCAUCUAACCUCACUGGAGAGGGGCGGUGGUGCCACCGUCCUCUUUGGUGGCCAACCACAACCAACCACAAAAACCUAAACAUAAACCCCCUUCCUCUUUUUACCUCAUUUUUUUCAAAUCUGACUUCUAUUUCACCUAAAUCCAAGCCAAACGACGGGAUCAGACCACCCAAAACCCUAAUCUCACAAAACUCAAACCAUCCAUAAUUCAUUCAAAAAUCAACAACCAUCAACGAUUCAAACAUCAAACAGAGCAGCGAGUACGAAAUAACAUAAAAUAUUUCAAGCAAGUUGAAGUCAAUAAUAACACACAAGUCCAAGAGUCAAUGGUUUAAGGCAAAGCUAAGUGUUCAACAGUCAUGUCAGACGCUAUGGAAUUUAAAGAAGGAAAGAGGACUACCGAACCUUUUCAGGUGAGGAUGAAUCAUGGAGCACAUGAAGUGAGGAAGAUGGCACGAUGGAUGAAAGAUUUUAGUCACACUUGCACUUUAGUUUUUUUUCUUUUUGAAAGGAAAUUAAAUGUACCAUGAACUUUGGUGUACUACUUUAUUUCAAGAUCAAAAUGUACUAUUUUUAAAAUUUAUAGAAAUGCAUAUUUCUACC